AUUGAACGCUGGCGGCAGGCUUAACACAUGCAAGUCGAGCGGAGAGAGGUAGCUUGCUACUGAUCUUAGCGGCGGACGGGUGAGUAAUGCUUAGGAAUCUGCCUAUUAGUGGGGGACAACAUUUCGAAAGGAAUGCUAAUACCGCAUACGUCCUACGGGAGAAAGCAGGGGAUCUUCGGACCUUGCGCUAAUAGAUGAGCCUAAGUCGGAUUAGCUAGUUGGUGGGGUAAAGGCGCACCAAGGCGACGAUCUGUAGCUGGUCUGAGAGGAUGAUCCGCCACACUGGGACUGAGACACGGCCCAGACUCCUACGGGAGGCAGCAGUGGGGAAUAUUGGACAAUGGGGGGAACCCUGAUCCAGCCAUGCCGCGUGUGUGAAGAAGGCCUUAUGGUUGUAAAGCACUUUAAGCGAGGAGGAGGCUACUCUAGUUAAUACCUAGAGAUAGUGGACGUUACUCGCAGAAUAAGCACCGGCUAACUCUGUGCCAGCCGCCGCGGUAAAAC
rnacentral:rRNA from 1 species